UCAUUUUAAACUGUGAUUUUGAAUCUAGCCUAAACCAAACUGCUAACAUUAUGCCUAACCGGAAAUUAAGACCGGAAAUAUAUGUAUUUGUAUGCAUUUUUACGUUAUUGACUUUGUGGCUGUGGUAACUAGAGGAAACCUUCGGUAUCUUUCAAAAACAAAGAUUUUUUAUGUCAUUCGAGAUAAUAAAUGCUCACUUUUAAGGCACAUAUGACUGCGACCUGGUUUCGAGAGAAUAAUUAAUUAAUAUAGUUUGGGACUAUGAUAUAGUUUGCAUCGGCACAAUUGGGCAGUCAAAUAUUAUGAAGAUAGAGGUGGCGUAUUUCAGCUAAAGCUUGGCAGUGAAACGACUUUUUAUAAAAAUGGCGCCGACCAAUGCAACCUGUCCCAUAGUAUAGUAAACUCACAUGUAACGUGGUAUAUUUGUUGCUACAUUUAUCGAGCAGACUUUUCCCCAAACAGAAAUGUUUGUCGCUCGAAGUAUUGCAGCGGACCACAAGGAUCUUAUUCAUGAUGUUUCAUAUGAUUUCCAUGGCCGGAGAAUGGCAACUUGCUCUAGUGACCAAAGUGUCAAGGUGUGGGACAAGAGUGACAACGGAGAGUGGAACUGCACUGCCAGCUGGAAGACCCAUAGUGGAUCAGUAUGGAGGGUGACCUGGGCCCAUCCAGAGUUUGGUCAGGUGCUGGCCUCCUGCUCCUUCGACCGGACCGCUGCUGUGUGGGAGGAGAUCGUUGGGGAGUCCAAUGACAAACAGCGAGGACUCAGUCACUGGAUCAAGAGGACCACUCUGGUGGACAGCAGAACGUCAGUGACUGACGUGAAGUUUGCUCCUAAACACAUGGGUCUGAUGCUGACCACGUGCUCAGCAGACGGGGUUAUGAGGGUCUACGAGGCUCCAGACGUGAUGAACCUCAGCCAGUGGUCCCUGCAGCAGGAGAUCUCCUCUAAACUCAGCUGCUCCUGUAUCUCCUGGAGCCCCUCCAGCUCUCGUGCCCACGCCCCCAUGAUAGCAGUGGGCUCUGAUGACAGCAACACAGCAUACAACGGGAAAGUUCACAUCUAUGAAUACAUUGAAAACACAAGGAAGUAUGCUAAGGCAGAAAAUCUGAUGACGGUGACAGAUCCAGUCCAUGACAUUGCCUUUGCUCCCAACUUGGGACGCUCUUUUCACGUGCUCGCCAUCGCCACCAAAGACGUACGCAUCUUCAAGCUGAUACCACAGAGGAGAGAGUCUGCAAUGGGGUCGUCUGGUCCCACUAAGCUGCAGGUUCAGAUCCUGGCCCAGUUUGACAACCACAACUCACAGGUGUGGAGAGUCUCCUGGAACAUCAGCAGCACCCUGCUUGCCUCCUCAGGGGACGAUGGCUGUGUCCGGCUCUGGAAAGCCAACUACAUGGACAACUGGAAGUGUACAGCCAUCCUGAGAGGAGAUGGUAGCCCAGUGACGGGCUCGUCCAGUCAGGCUGCAGUCCCCAGCACAGCAGGGGGACCACAACAUGUCCUGCUGCAAGCGUCCUCCGCUGGAAGAAAGAAAGCUCAGCUGAUACCUGGCUAACGGAGUGGCUUGGUGCUGCUGCUUGUUGCAUGCACACACACACACACACACACACACACACACACACACACACACACACACACAGAGGAAUGGAAAGGGAACUCCCUCACCCUGCAGACCAACCUCCCAGAAACACCUCUGAACCCUUUUGUAUGCUAAUCGAGAACCACACUGACUCCUAGAUCAAAGUUCCAGGCAAGCAGUACCGAUGCACCUUGUCUGGAACCAACAGGACCCUGACCAGCUUCUACCCCCAAACCAUAGACUGUUCUCUCUGCUACCACACAGCAAGCAGUACCGAUGCACCAAGUCUGGAACCAACAGGACCCUGACCAGCUUCAACCCACAAGCCAUAAGACUGCUACAUAGUUAGUCUGGGUAGCUAUUAGUUAACUAAUUAAAUAUCCAUACUGAACAAACGUUUGUAUUUAUUCUGGAUCCAAACUAGCUGCUGCCAAAGCAGCAACUACUCUUCCUGGGGUCCAGCAAAAUUAAGGCAGUUUAUACAAUUUUAAAAACAUUACAAUACAUUCACAGAUUUCACAACACCCUGUGUGCCCUCAGGCCCCUACUCCACCACUACCACAUAUCUACAGUACUAAAUCCAUAUGUGUGUAUAGUGUGUAUGUUAUCGUGUGUGUAUGCAUGUGUCUGUGUUUGUGUUGCUUCACAGUCCCCGCUGUUCCAUAAGGUUCUUUUGUUUUUAUCUGUUUUUUGUAAAUCUAAUUUUACUGCUUGCGUCAGUUACUUGAUGUGGAAUAGAGUUUCAUGUAGUCAUGGCUCUAUGUAGUACUGUGUGCCUUCCAUAGUCUGUUCUGGACUUGGGGACUGUGAAGAGACCUCUUGUGGCAUGUCUUGUGGGAUAUGCAUGGGUGUUUGAGCUGUGUGCCAGUAGUUUAGACAGACAGCUCAGUGCAUUCAACAUGAAAAUACCUCUCAUAAAUAAAACUAGUGAUGAAGUCAAUCUCUCCUCCACUUUGAGCCAUGAGAGAUUGACAUGGAUAUUAUUAAUAUUCGCUCUCUGUGCACAUCCAAGGGCCAGCCGUGCUGCCCUGUUCUGAGACAAUUGCAAUUUUCCUAAUUCCUUUUUUGUGGCACCUGACCACACGACUGAACAGUAGUC